UGGUAAAGUGACCGUUAAAUAUAAUGUUAAAGAAUGUAUCUGUGGAUUGUGGCUUUACAUCGGUCGAAGUUGACUCCAUGUCGUGGUGUCUCACGUAACUCAAAGCCAGGCAAGCUGAGGACAGGCGCUCUGUUCCAUCGUCGUUAUGGUAACCAAACAAGUCUUCUUCUGUCUAGGUUUGUUUUUAGGUUUAAGUGUUGUUCUUCUAUGUGGUCCACCUACUGGAGGGAAGUGUUUACAGCAGUUCCGUUUCACACAUGCGCAGUCUACGCGUAACUUUGACGCACGGUCUUAAAUUUCGGUCGACUCAAAGACAGCCAGUCCCGUAUUAAAGAGAUCAAGGAUUUGCUGACGAUCAAAAUGAACAGAAUGACAGAGAGAGGGGGCGUCUCCUCACACUCCUGCUCUCAAACUCAUGGCACCAGCUGGCAGGAUCAGCAACACUGAACAGAAUGACAGUGAGGAAAGCUGAGGCUCCGUCCCAGAAGAGAGGAUGCUGUAGUAGGCCUGUAUUUGAUCAUGACUCUUACUGGAAACAGUGGAGGAAAGAGUAACCCACACCUCACUCUGAACCUUGCCUACAUACUGCACACUUCAGAUCAUAUUCAGCUUCAGCAUUCUAUCUCCCAACACAUGCUCUGGGAAGAACAUAAACUGGUCAGUAACACACAUACCCUAUGACACACUAAUGUCUGGCCCCAUUCAGGGUCUGCAGGUGUGCUUGUGGCAUUCCCCCUGUUGCUGACCUGCUCUGAAGCAUUCUUGUCUUGCAACACAGUGACAACACUAGCCUGAAGAGGAUUUCCCCCAAACUGUACGGAACUUCCCCUUUUCACCUCCUCGGUGUAUCACAUGUAUGACAAUGCUGUUGGACUUCUAGAUCCUGCCGGACGGAGCUCUGCUUUGGAAUGGCCCACAUUGUGAGGACAUUCCUCUCCACCUGACAGCCUGUCUACACAUCUAAAUUACAGUUUUUCUCGAUUGCUUUUACCUGCUUAAGUAAA